CCUACGGGUGGCUGCAGUGGGGAAUAUUGGACAAUGGGCGAAAGCCUGAUCCAGCCAUGCCGCGUGUGUGAAGAAGGCCUUCGGGUUGUAAAGCACUUUCAGUGGGGAAGAAAGCCUUGGGGCUAAUACCCUCGAGGAAGGACAUCACCCACAGAAGAAGCACUGGCUAACUCCGUGCCAGCAGCCGCGGUAAUACGGAGGGUGCGAGCGUUAAUCGGAAUUACUGGGCGUAAAGCGCGCGUAGGCGGUCUGAUAAGCCGGUUGUGAAAGCCCCGGGCUCAACCUGGGAACGGCAUCCGGAACUGUCAGGCUAGAGUGCAGGAGAGGAAGGUAGAAUUCCCGGUGUAGCGGUGAAAUGCGUAGAGAUCGGGAGGAAUACCAGUGGCGAAGGCGGCCUUCUGGACUGACACUGACGCUGAGGUGCGAAAGCGUGGGUAGCAAACAGGAUUAGAUACCCUAGUAGUC
rnacentral:rRNA from 1 species